GUCGGGCGCAGUGGUGCACACCUGUACUCCCAGCAGCUCAGGAGGCUGAGGCAGGAGGAUCAUGUUCAAAGCCAGCCUCAACAACAGUGAGGCACUGAACAACUCAGUGAGACCCUGUCUCUA
rnacentral:sRNA from 1 species